CAAAUAAUACCACAGUGGGUGU
rnacentral:miRNA from 1 species